AUUGAACGCUGGAGGUAUGCUUAACACAUGCAAGUCGAACGCGAACGUUCCUUCGGGAAUAAGUAGAGUGGCGGACGGGUGAGUAACGCGUAGGAAUAUACCUAGUAGUGGGGGAUAACAUGGAGAAAUUCAUGCUAAUACCGCAUAUGUCUCACGAGAUAAAGAGGGCCUCUUCUUGAAAGCUCUUGCUAUUAGAUUAGCCUGCGUCGGAUUAGCUUGUUGGUGAGGUAAUGGCUCACCAAGGCGACGAUCCGUAGCUGGUCUGAGAGGAUGAUCAGCCACACUGGGACUGAGACACGGCCCAGACUCCUACGGGAGGCAGCAGUGGGGAAUAUUGGACAAUGGGCGCAAGCCUGAUCCAGCAAUACCUCGUGUGUGAAGAAGGCCCUAGGGUUGUAAAGCACUUUCAAUUGGGACGAAGAGUGUGUACUUAAUACGUGCAUACUUUGACGGUACCUUUAGAAGAAGCACCGGCUAACUCCGUGCCAGCCGCCGCCGUAACAC
rnacentral:rRNA from 1 species